GACGAACGCUGGCGGCGUGCUUAACACAUGCAAGUCGAACGGAAAGGCCCUGCUUUUGUGGGGUGCUCGAGUGGCGAACGGGUGAGUAACACGUGAGUAACCUGCCCUUGACUUUGGGAUAACUUCAGGAAACUGGGGCUAAUACCGGAUAGGAGCUCCUGCUGCAUGGUGGGGGUUGGAAAGUUUCGGCGGUUGGGGAUGGACUCGCGGCUUAUCAGCUUGUUGGUGGGGUAGUGGCUUACCAAGGCUUUGACGGGUAGCCGGCCUGAGAGGGUGACCGGGAACUGUGGGACAGAGCAGCGGGCCGGACGGUGGGAGGAGGCAGGAGGGGGGAAUGUAGAAUGCGGGGGCGACGCUGGAUGUAGAAACGCGGUUGGGGGGACGCGGUCCUUGGGUUGAUAAGCCGCUGUCCGAUGAGAAGAAGGGUGAGGGAGGAUAAGGGGAAAAGAAGCACCGGCAAACGACGUGACAGCAUCCGGAGUAAUAGAUGAAAGACCACGCAACUAAC
rnacentral:rRNA from 1 species